GAAUUCUGGACAAUGGGCGAAAGCCUGAUCCAGCAAUGCCGCGUGCAGGAUGAAGGCCUUCGGGUUGUAAACUGCUUUUGUACGGAACGAAAAGCUUUGGGUUAAUACCCUGGAGUCAUGACGGUACCGUAAGACAACGCACCGGCUAACUACGUGUCAGCAGCCGCGGUAAUAGGUAGGGUGCAAGCGUUCAUCGGAAUUACUGGGCGUAAAGCGUGCGCAGGCGUGUGGGUAAGACAGAGGUGAAAUCCCCGGGCUCAACCUGGGAACUGCCUGUGUGACUGCAAGGCUAGAGUACGGCAGAGGGGGGUGGAAUUCCGCGUGUAGCAGUGAAAUGCGUAGAUAUGCAGAGGAACACCGAUGGCGAAGGCAACCCCCUGGGCCUGUACUGACGCUCAUGCACGAAAGCGUGGGGAGCAAACA
rnacentral:rRNA from 1 species